CCUUCCCCAGGCCAAGGAGCCGGUAUCAGACACAACUACAGUCCACAACACCUAGUCUCACCACACCCCCAAGGGUACUCAGCAGUGAUAAAUAUUGAGCAUAAGCGAUAGCUUGACUCAGUCAGAGAAAAGAGAGCCGGCCAACCCGGUGCCAGCCGCCGCGGCUACCCCGUGGGCUCAAGUUGAUGAUCGUCGGCGUUAAGCGUGAUUAAAGUUCAUCUAGAUUAGGGCCAAAUUAACACUUAGUAGUAAAAAGCCUGUUAUUAAGAAGAACAUAAACGAAAGUUGCCCUAACCCACAUACUUGAAUACACGACAGUUGGGAAACAAACUAGGAUUAGAUACCCUACUAUGCCCAACCGUAAACAAUUAACCUACACCUAUAAGCGCCUGGGAACUACGAGCCAUGCUUAAAACCCAAAGGAUUUGACGGUAUCCCACCCAACUAGAGGAGCCUGUUCUAUAAUCGAUGAUCCCCGAUACACCUAACCACCCCUAGCUCAUCCGUCUGUAUACCUCCGUCGAAAGCCUACCAUGUGAACGUUUACAGUAGGCUCAAGGACCCACAUUAGCGCGUCAACACGUCAGGUCAAGGUGCAACUUAAGGAGUGGGAAGUAAUUGGCUACAAUUUCUAACCUAGAACAAACGAAAGACUGUGUGAAAUCACAGUCACGAAGGCGGAUUUAGCAGUAAAAAGAAAAUAGAGAGUUCUUUUU
rnacentral:rRNA from 1 species